GACGAACGCUGGCGGCGUGCUUAACACAUGCAAGUCGAGCGAUGAAAUCCCUUCGGGGAUGGAUUAGCGGCGGACGGGUGAGUAACACGUGGGUAACCUGCCUCAAAGAGGGGGACAGCCUCCCGAAAGGGAGAUUAAUACCGCAUAACAUUAGUUUUUCGCAUGGAGGACUAAUUAAAGGAGUAAUCCGCUUUGAGAUGGACCCGCGGCGCAUUAGCUAGUUGGUGAGGUAACGGCUCACCAAGGCGACGAUGCGUAGCCGACCUGAGAGGGUGAUCGGCCACAUUGGAACGGAGACACGGUCCAGACUCCUACGGGAGGCAGCAGUGGGGAAUAUUGCACAAUGGGCGAAAGCCUGAUGCAGCAACGCCGCGUGAGUGAUGAAGGCCUUCGGGUUGUAAAGCUCUGUCUUUUGGGACGAUAAUGACGGUACCAAAGGAGGAAGCCACGGCUAACUACGUGCCAGCAGCCGCCGUAAGAC
rnacentral:rRNA from 1 species